CCUACGGGAGGCAGCAGUAGGGAAUCUUCCGCAAUGGACGCAAGUCUGACGGAGCAACGCCGCGUGAGCGACGAAGGUUUUCGGAUCGUAAAACUCUGUUGUGAGGGAAGAACACGUACCAACUAACUAUUGGUACCUUGACGGUACCUCACCAGAAAGCCACGGCUAACUACGUGCCAGCAGCCGCGGUAAU
rnacentral:rRNA from 1 species